AGUGAACGCUGGCGGCAGGCCUAACACAUGCAAGUCGAACGGCAGCACAGUAAGAGCUUGCUCUUACGGGUGGCGAGUGGCGGACGGGUGAGGAAUACAUCGGAAUCUACUUUUUCGUGGGGGAUAACGUAGGGAAACUUACGCUAAUACCGCAUACGACCUACGGGUGAAAGCAGGGGAUCUUCGGACCUUGCGCGAUUGAAUGAGCCGAUGUCGGAUUAGCUAGUUGGCGGGGUAAAGGCCCACCAAGGCGACGAUCCGUAGCUGGUCUGAGAGGAUGAUCAGCCACACUGGAACUGAGACACGGUCCAGACUCCUACGGGAGGCAGCAGUGGGGAAUAUUGGACAAUGGGCGCAAGCCUGAUCCAGCCAUACCGCGUGGGUGAAGAAGGCCUUCGGGUUGUAAAGCCCUUUUGUUGGGAAAGAAAAGCAGCAGGUUAAUACCCCGCUGUUCUGACGGUACCCAAAGAAUAAGCGCCGGCUAACUUCGUG
rnacentral:rRNA from 1 species